UACGUAGGGUGCAAGCGUUGUCCGGAAUUAUUGGGCGUAAAGAGCUCGUAGGCGGCUUGUCGCGUCGGCUGUGAAAACCUGGGGCUCAACCCUGGGCCUGCAGCCGAUACGGGCAAGCUAGAAUUCGGUAGGGGAGACUGGAAUUCCUGGUGUAGCGGUGAAAUGCGCAGAUAUCAGGAGGAACACCGGUGGCGAAGGCGGGUCUCUGGGCCGAUAUUGACGCUGAGGAGCGAAAGCGUGGGGAGCGAACAGG
rnacentral:rRNA from 1 species